UACGAAGGGGGCUAGCGUUGCUCGGAAUCACUGGGCGUACAGGGUGCGUAGGCGGGUUUUUAAGUCAGAGGUGAAAUCCUGGAGCUCAACUCCAGAACUGCCUUUGAUACUGAAAGUCUUGAGUAUGGGAGAGGUGAGUGGAACUGCGAGUGUAGAGGUGAAAUUCGUAGAUAUUCGCAAGAACACCAGUGGCGAAGGCGGCUCACUGGCCCAUUACUGACGCUGAGGCACGAAAGCGUGGGGAGCAAACAGG
rnacentral:rRNA from 1 species